AACGCUAGCUACAGGCUUAACACAUGCAAGUCGAGGGGCAGCAGGAUCUAGCAAUAGAUUGCUGGCGACCGGCGCACGGGUGUGUAACACGUAUCCAACCUGCCGAUAACUCGGGGAUAGCCUUUCGAAAGAAAGAUUAAUACCCGAUGGUAUAAUCAGACCGCAUGGUCUUGUUAUUAAAGAAUUUCGGUUAUCGAUGGGGAUGCGUUCCAUUAGGCAGUUGGUGAGGUAACGGCUCACCAAACCUUCGAUGGAUAGGGGUUCUGAGAGGAAGGUCCCCCACAUUGGAACUGAGACACGGUCCAAACUCCUACGGGAGGCAGCAGUGAGGAAUAUUGGUCAAUGGGCGCGGGCCUGAACCAGCCAAGUAGCGUGAAGGAUGACUGCCCUAUGGGUUGUAAACUUCUUUUAUAUGGGAAUAAAGUUUUCCACGUGUGGAAUUUUGUAUGUACCAUAUGAAUAAGGAUCGGCUAACUCCGUGCCAGCAGCCGCGGUAAUACGGAGGAUCCGAGCGUUAUCCGGAUUUAUUGGGUUUAAAGGGAGCGUAGGUGGACAGUUAAGUCAGUUGUGAAAGUUUGCGGCUCAACCGUAAAAUUGCAGUUGAUACUGGCUGUCUUGAGUACAGUAGAGGUGGGCGGAAUUCGUGGUGUAGCGGUGAAAAUGCUUAGAUAUCACGAAGAACUCCGAUUGCGAAGGCAGCUCACUGGACUGCAACUGACACUGAUGCUCGAAAGUGUGGGUAUCAAACAGGAUUAGAUACCCUGGUAGUCCACACAGUAAACGAUGAAUACUCGCUGUUUGCGAUAUACAGUAAGCGGCCAAGCGAAAGCAUUAAGUAUUCCACCUGGGGAGUACGCCGGCAACGGUGAGACUCAAAGGAAUUGACGGGGGCCCGCACAAGCGGAGGAACAUGUGGUUUAAUUCGAUGAUACGCGAGGAACCUUACCCGGGCUUAAAUUGCAUUUGAAUAUAUUGGAAACAGUAUAGUCGUAAGACAAAUGUGAAGGUGCUGCAUGGUUGUCGUCAGCUCGUGCCGUGAGGUGUCGGCUUAAGUGCCAUAACGAGCGCAACCCUUAUCUUUAGUUACUAACAGGUCAUGCUGAGGACUCUAGAGAGACUGCCGUCGUAAGAUGUGAGGAAGGUGGGGAUGACGUCAAAUCAGCACGGCCCCUACGUCCGGGGCUACACACGUGUUACAAUGGGGGGUACAGAAGGCAGCUACCUGGUGACAGGAUGCUAAUCCCAAAAGCCUCUCUCAGUUCGGAUCGAAGUCUGCAACCCGACUUCGUGAAGCUGGAUUCGCUAGUAAUCGCGCAUCAGCCAUGGCGCGGUGAAUACGUUCCCGGGCCUUGUACACACCGCCCGUCAAGCCAUGAAAGCCGGGGGUACCUGAAGUACGUAACCGCAAGGAGCGUCCUAGGGUAAAACUGGUAAUUGGGGCUAAG
rnacentral:rRNA from 1 species